AGAGACUCCGUUAGUAGUGGCGAGCGAACGCGGACUAGGCCAGUGGCUUUAUUGUUGUAACCGGAACAUUCUGGAAAGUUUGGCAUUAAUGGGUGAUAGCCCUGUACGGAUACAGCAACGAUAAGGUCCUUGAGUAGGGCGGGACACGAGAAAUCCUGUUUGAACAUGGGGCGACCACGCUCCAAGCCUAAGUACUCCCAUGCGACCGAUAGUGAACCAGUACCGUGAGGGAAAGGCGAAAAGAACCCCUGUGAGGGGAGUGAAAUAGAUCCUGAAACCGUGUACGUACAAGCAGUGGGAGCCCCUUCGUGGGGUGACUGCGUACCUUUUGUAUAAUGGGUCAGCGACUUACAU
rnacentral:rRNA from 1 species